rnacentral:misc_RNA from 1 species
AACAAGAUCAACUCUAGUUGAGAGUUGGGAUUGACCUUAUGUGCCUUUGGGUACAUUUGGUUUAAAUAAAUCGAGUUGAUGAGCUUCCCAAUACGGCUCAAUGUGUGCUAGCGAGACAGUCGUCCCGAUCUCACAUUUCGGCCGUGUUGCAGAGUUCUGAGCACAAUUCGCUAAACUCAUAAAUCAAAU